ensembl:lncRNA
AUAGACACCAGGACCAUCCUUAUCUGGUUACCUCUCGAUUCCUCCGCCAUGUACCCAUCCACAGAACAUCCCCUUGCUAACGCCUCCCAAGAGCUCCAUGGGCCAAACCAUAGUACCCAGAGCUGUAUUGGCCACGGACACAUUCCAUUUUCAAACCACUUUUCCUUGGUCAGAGUCUGUGACAGCAGCCCACCCUGGCUUUUCCCCUACCUCUCAGUCCAUUACUUCUAAGUCUCCUUGUCGGUCCAUUUACUUUGAUCCCCUCCUAAAUCUUGGGCUUUGUUUUCCUCUGGUUUCCAACCUCUGCCCUGUGCUCUUCCACUCCAUACAUGAUCCUUGGGUGACCACGUCACCCCCCAGAGCUUUUACCCAUCUGACUUGUUUUCAUCAGUAUCCCCUUGUAUGCUGUUGCCUUUUCCUAUCACUACAUCUACCUAGGACAUCUCAGCUGGGCCCCAGAUUCGCCAGAGGCUGAGACGCAUGGGGCAUCUGCACUCCGAUGUCGCAUAAGCCCUGCAGGCCUGCUAGUAGCCCCAGGACAACGUUUCCUGUCUCAUGGAUGGGCACCGCCAUCCACCCAGUUCCUUAAACCACAAUCCCGGGCAUGCUGCUGGGUGUGAGCUUCACUGUGCAGUGACUCCCCUGGAGCUGCACCUGAGAUCUUCCUGUUGCCACAGGUGGGGAUCCGAUCCUCUCAGAGGCCCUGUUCCUGCAGACACGCUCUGAAGGUGUCCAGAGCACGGGCCAUCACCCUCUUUUGGAUCUCCGAGAGAACCCGGGCACUGUAAUGCACCUGAGAGGUUGAAAGCCCUGUCUUUAAGAAGAUGAGGAGUCAGGACACAGCAGUGCAAGCCCAUCACUGGGGAAUGUGCCAAAGAAUAUCUGGAAGAGAUCCCUAAAGAACGUUUAGGGAGGCUACACCCUUCAGUCGGUGUGGAACAGAGGUGGUUGAAGCAGACCUCCUAUCCUGGUCUGGAUCUCAAGAGGCAAGCAUGCACUCAGACUCUACUAGAUGUGAUGUGACGAGAGCUGGAUGUUUCUCGGGGAUGUUCUUCAGCACUACCACGACAAUCCCUUCUAUCCCGAGAUGGUUGACCAUGUUUAUUGAUUUAGUUAUUUACUUAUUUGUCAUGAACGGGUCUUGAACUGUGUCAAAUUGCUUUUUCUUUGUCUGUCAAGAUGACAGGUGGUUUCCGUCCUUCAUUAUAUCAAUACGCUGUUUGCCAUAACUGAAGGUGAGUGUUGGUCCAGUACUGCAAUCCUGGGAAAGAUCUCACACAGCCCUUUGCAAAAUGUUUCUCGAUUUGGUUUGCACAUACGGGGUUGAGGGUGUAUGCAUCGCUAUUCAUGACAGAUAUGGGUCUGUAGCUUUCUGGAGAUGGUAAGUCUGGCUUUGGUACUGGGGUUAAUACUGGGCUUAUAGGAUGAAUUAGGAAACGUUCCCUCCUCCCUCCUGUCUAUUCAGGAAGAAUCUGUGAAGGAUGGGUGCUAUUUCUUCUUUAAACAUUUGACAGAUUUCACUGAUGAAACCAGGAGGCCCAGGACUUCCCUUUGUGGGAAGGUCUUUAAAUGAAUGGUUCAGUAUCAUUGCUUGCUACAGGUACAUUCAGAUUUGUUAUUUGGCCACUGCAUUUAAGCCAACUCCCAUCCAGGAUUCUCUGGCCUGUUGGUUCCUAAGGCUCGGUCUCCGGCCUAGAAUUUGACGUGCUGCACAUCUCUGCCCAUCACCGGAUUCUGGCUCCUACUCUGUAACUGGGGAGAGUAUGCUGCUCAGAAGUGACCCCCAG